AUUGAACGCUGGCGGCAGGCCUAACACAUGCAAGUCGAGCGGAUGAAGGGAGCUUGCUCCUGGAUUCAGCGGCGGACGGGUGAGUAAUGCCUAGGAAUCUGCCUGGUAGUGGGGGAUAACGUCCGGGAACGGGCGCUAAUACCGCAUACGUCCUGAGGGAGAAAGUGGGGGAUCUUCGGACCUCACGCUAUCAGAUGAGCCUAGGUCGGAUUAGCUAGUUGGUGGGGUAAAGGCCUACCAAGGCGACGAUCCGUAACUGGUCUGAGAGGAUGAUCAGUCACACUGGAACUGAGACACGGUCCAGACUCCUACGGGAGGCAGCAGUGGGGAACAUUGGACAAUGGGCGAAAGCCUGAUCCAGCCAUGCCGCGUGUGUGAAGAAGGUCUUCGGAUUGUAAAGCACUUUAAGUUGGGAGGAAGGGCAGUAAGUUAAUACCUUGCUGUUUUGACGUUACCAACAGAAUAAGCACCGGCUAACUUCGUG
rnacentral:rRNA from 1 species